CACAAACACAAUAGGAUUUACUAGUUUCCAUUUUAAGCUUUGUUGAAGCUUACUCCAAACAUAGAGCUCAUAGGAAAAGUUACUAUUGUAAUACACUGUUUUCUUAUAUGAUUAUUGCCAUUUUGUAUUAAAAAAAAAAAAAAAAAAAAAAAAAAAAAGAGAAGGUUUCUUUGUUUGCGCUGCGGCGGCUGGUUAGGGGCUCCGACUAUCAUUUAAUUUCUCUGAGGAAGACGUAGUUUCCGGCGAGGGUAAGGUUGUUCUUUUGCGUUUGUGGAGAUUGAGUAACGAUUCGAUUAGGAGUAAACUAAAGGAAGUGCUCUACUUAAUAGAAGAUUCGAACGGGAUUGGGAAGCACAAAGUUAAUGGAGAAGAGGCGCGUGGGGACUCCCGGUGAAGGUUACCAAUUUCAUUGUCCUGUUUAGUUUUUUCGUUUCGGCGAGGUUAGUGUUAGGAUUUCCAUUUGAGGAUUAGUGUUAGGAUUCGUGUGCCUGAUAGGGGCUUCAGACUGGUACGAGAGUUGCUGCUUUUGGGUAAAGCUUUUUUGGGUACCCUACUCGUGUUGCUAUUGGAUAAGUGCUUCUGUUUGUUCGUUGCAAGGAUGCUCAAUUUGGUCACCAUCCAUGCUCAACUUGAGGCUCUUCUUCCUCAAAAGAUUAGUGGGGAUGGAAUGGGUCUAAGAGACAAGAAAUUCACUUGUUGUCACUGCAAUUGUUUUUUUUUUAGUUGCGUAGGUUAUCUGAUGCUAUGAGAGCUUUGAUUUACACUUGCUUGACUUAGAAGAGCUUUGAUCGAUCCAUCCAAACAGAAUAACCGAACGAAAUUGGCAAAGGCAGAUAUUAAUGCAGACCACGCCGAGAUUACUAGUUAUGAAAACUUUAUGUAUUUUGAAGUGUCGUUAGUCUCUUGUACAUGCCAAAAUCAUGGAGUAUACUCACACAAUGACAAGGCUGGCAUGCGUUGGAACUUGGAAGUUUCUAACUUUCAUUUCAUUCAAUACGGAAAUUAACCUUCAUUUA